ensembl:snRNA U1 U1 spliceosomal RNA
AUAUUUACCUGACAGGGGAGAUACCAUGAUCAUGAAGCUGGUUUUCCCAGGGUGAGACUUGUCCAUUGCACUCCGGAUGUGCUGACCCUUGAGAUUUCCCUACCUGUGGCAAACUUGAAUUUGUGAGAGUGAAGGACUGUGUUCAUGCUCUCCCCUAUA